AGCGUACACGGUGGAUGCCCUGGCAGUCAGAGGCGAUGAAGGACGUGCUAAUCUGCGAAAAGCGCCGGCGAGGUGAUAUGAACCUUUGACCCGGCGAUGUCCGAAUGGGGAAACCCAGUGCAAUUCGUUGCACUAUCGUUAACUGAAUACAUAGGUUAACGAGGCGAACCGGGGGAACUGAAACAUCUAAGUACCCCGAGGAAAAGAAAUCAACCGAGAUUCCCCCAGUAGCGGCGAGCGAACGGGGAGCAGCCCAGAGUCUGAAUCAGCUUGUGUGUUAGUGGAAGCGUCUGGAAAGUCGCACGGUACAGGGUGACAGUCCCGUACACGAAAGCACACAGGUUGUGAACUCGAAGAGUAGGGCGGGACACGUGGUAUCCUGUCUGAAUAUGGGGGGACCAUCCUCCAAGGCUAAAUACUCCUGACUGACCGAUAGUGAACCAGUACCGUGAGGGAAAGGCGAAAAGAACCCCGGCGAGGGGAGUGAAAAAGAACCUGAAACCGUGUACGUACAAGCAGUGGGAGCACCUUCGUGGUGUGACUGCGUACCUUUUGUAUAAUGGGUCAGCGACUUAUAUUCUGUAGCAAGGUUAACCGUAUAGGGGAGCCGAAGGGAAACCGAGUCUUAACUGGGCGUUAAGUUGCAGGGUAUAGACCCGAAACCCGGUGAUCUAGCCAUGGGCAGGUUGAAGGUUGGGUAACACUAACUGGAGGACCGAACCGACUAAUGUUGAAAAAUUAGCGGAUGACUUGUGGCUGGGGGUGAAAGGCCAAUCAAACCGGGAGAUAGCUGGUUCUCCCCGAAAGCUAUUUAGGUAGCGCCUCGUGAACUCAUCUUCGGGGGUAGAGCACUGUUUCGGCUAGGGGGCCAUCCCGGCUUACCAACCCGAUGCAAACUACGAAUACCGAAGAAUGUUAUCACGGGAGACACACGGCGGGUGCUAACGUCCGUCGUGAAGAGGGAAACAACCCAGACCGCCAGCUAAGGUCCCAAAGUCAUGGUUAAGUGGGAAACGAUGUGGGAAGGCACAGACAGCCAGGAUGUUGGCUUAGAAGCAGCCAUCAUUUAAAGAAAGCGUAAUAGCUCACUGGUCGAGUCGGCCUGCGCGGAAGAUGUAACGGGGCUAAACCAUGCACCGAAGCUGCGGCAGCGACGCUUAUGCGUUGUUGGGUAGGGGAGCGUUCUGUAAGCCGUUGAAGGUGUGCUGUGAGGCAUGCUGGAGGUAUCAGAAGUGCGAAUGCUGACAUAAGUAACGAUAAAGCGGGUGAAAAGCCCGCUCGCCGGAAGACCAAGGGUUCCUGUCCAACGUUAAUCGGGGCAGGGUGAGUCGACCCCUAAGGCGAGGCCGAAAGGCGUAGUCGAUGGGAAACAGGUUAAUAUUCCUGUACUUGGUGUUACUGCGAAGGGGGGACGGAGAAGGCUAUGUUAGCCGGGCGACGGUUGUCCCGGUUUAAGCAUGUAGGCGGAGGUUCCAGGUAAAUCCGGUACCUUUUUAACGCUGAGGUGUGAUGACGAGGCACUACGGUGCUGAAGUAACAAAUGCCCUGCUUCCAGGAAAAGCCUCUAAGCAUCAGGUAACAUCAAAUCGUACCCCAAACCGACACAGGUGGUCAGGUAGAGAAUACCAAGGCGCUUGAGAGAACUCGGGUGAAGGAACUAGGCAAAAUGGUGCCGUAACUUCGGGAGAAGGCACGCUGAUAUGUAGGUGAAGCCCCUGCGGGUGGAGCUGAAAUCAGUCGAAGAUACCAGCUGGCUGCAACUGUUUAUUAAAAACACAGCACUGUGCAAACACGAAAGUGGACGUAUACGGUGUGACGCCUGCCCGGUGCCGGAAGGUUAAUUGAUGGGGUUAGCGGCAACGCGAAGCUCUUGAUCGAAGCCCCGGUAAACGGCGGCCGUAACUAUAACGGUCCUAAGGUAGCGAAAUUCCUUGUCGGGUAAGUUCCGACCUGCACGAAUGGCGUAAUGAUGGCCAGGCUGUCUCCACCCGAGACUCAGUGAAAUUGAACUCGCUGUGAAGAUGCAGUGUACCCGCGGCAAGACGGAAAGACCCCGUGAACCUUUACUAUAGCUUGACACUGAACACUGGUCCUUGAUGUGUAGGAUAGGUGGGAGGCUUUGAAGCGUGGACGCCAGUCUGCGUGGAGCCAACCUUGAAAUACCACCCUUUAAUGGCUGGUGUUCUAACGUAGACCCGUGAUCCGGGUUGCGGACAGUGUCUGGUGGGUAGUUUGACUGGGGCGGUCUCCUCCCAAAGAGUAACGGAGGAGCACGAAGGUUAGCUAAUCCUGGUCGGACAUCAGGAGGUUAGUGCAAUGGCAUAAGCUAGCUUGACUGCGAGAGUGACGGCUCGAGCAGGUGCGAAAGCAGGUCAUAGUGAUCCGGUGGUUCUGAAUGGAAGGGCCAUCGCUCAACGGAUAAAAGGUACUCCGGGGAUAACAGGCUGAUACCGCCCAAGAGUUCAUAUCGACGGCGGUGUUUGGCACCUCGAUGUCGGCUCAUCACAUCCUGGGGCUGAAGUAGGUCCCAAGGGUAUGGCUGUUCGCCAUUUAAAGUGGUACGCGAGCUGGGUUUAGAACGUCGUGAGACAGUUCGGUCCCUAUCUGCCGUGGGCGCUGGAGAAUUGAGGGGGGCUGCUCCUAGUACGAGAGGACCGGAGUGGACGCAUCACUGGUGUUCGGGUUGUCAUGCCAAUGGCACUGCCCGGUAGCUAAAUGCGGAAAAGAUAAGUGCUGAAAGCAUCUAAGCACGAAACUUGCCCCGAGAUGAGUUCU
rnacentral:rRNA from 1 species